ACCUUUACAUUUUGUUUCUUUCCAGAAUUACUCUAUAAGUUUCUAAAAGAACUUAUUGUAGAAAGCUUCAGCGAAGAAGGUUCUCAAUGUUUAGUGAGUACUUAUGUUUGUACCAGCUUACUGCUCAAGAAGCUAACGAAGGUCCUAACAACAAGGGCAAAAGACCUGCUAAGUAGAUCACUAUACUAGAUUUUCUGAGUGUUGAUUGAAGGA